UGAAAAUUGUUAGAUUUUUUGUUGUAUUUCUGGUUUUUUCCUUGGGACUUGCCAAGAGACAGAAUCGUUUUGCUCAUUUAUUAAGUGAUUCGAAAGGUCGACUGUAUAGGACUUAUAUACCUGGGGCUUACAAAGUUACAGUACCAAUGAGAGCAUAGACGAUCCUAUGAAAUCGACAGAAUCCAACAUAUACUGUUUCCUACCAUAACGAUUAUUUUACCCAUCUUCCGGGACCUCUACCACUUGCUAACCUCAUCAAAAUAAUAGUUCGCUUCGCCUUCAUUCUCCUUCGCCUCUUUUUUUGUGACGCCAACAAGUGUGGCACUUGAUCUUUUUCUUGCCACUUGCCAGGACACUCGGAUUGUGAUUGAGUGUGUGCAACAGAGCCCGGAGCCCGAAGGCAGCAGCCCGGAGUCCGAGACCCCCAGAGAACUCAUCGCACAUGCUGACCAACGUCCGGCUGCCUUUUGUUUGGCCAUUUUCGGGGGAGUGUGAGUGAUGAAAAUUUCGAUGAUGUCCAUUCAACAAUGCCAGUUUAUUGAGGAGUCGCAAAAGGAAUUUAAUUUUGUGCGAAACUUUUCCUAGGAGCGAACCAGGACAUCGUUGUCGUCAGUGAAGCAUCAGCUGUCCCUCAAGCUACUGCUCCUGACUCUCAUGCCUUCCUUAUCCAUCUAACAUUGGAUAGAUAAAACCCAAUUUGUUGCAAAUAAAAUAAAAAACAAUGCAGACGAGCAAA